rnacentral:rRNA from 1 species
GUGCCAGCCGCCGCGGUAAGACAGAGGUCCCGAGCGUUAGGCGGAAUCACUGGGCUUAAAGCGUGUGUAGGCGGAUGCCUAAGUACCUUGUGAAAUCCCACGGCUCACCCGUGGAACUGCUUGGUAUACUGGGUGUCUUGAGCCACUUAGGGGCUACCGGAACAAAUGGUGGAGCGGUGAAAUGCGUAGAUAUCAUUUGGAACGCCAAUGGUGAAAACAGGUAGCUGGGAGUGUGCUGACGCUGAGACACGAAAGCCAGGGGAGCAAACGGGAUUAGAAACCCGCGUAGUCC